rnacentral:ncRNA from 1 species
AAUACAGUACCGGUGAAGAUGCCGGUUACCUGUGGUUAGACGAAAAGACCCCGGAAGCUUUACUGCAGCUUGAUAUUGGGUCUACUGUUCUCAUGCGUAGCAUAGGUGGGAGGCUUUGAAGUCCUGUUUUCGGAUGGGACAGAGCCGUCAGUGAAAUACCACUCUUGAGGGUGUUAGAUUCUAACUGGCUGGGAACCCCGCCCUUUUGUUUACUGAAAUUCUGUUUGGGAAAUCUAUUUUAUGAUUGCCGAAUGUAAAAAAUACAAUCAAAGAUUUAUGUAAACAAAAGAGCGGGGAAGCCCAGUCAGGACCGUGUCUGGUGGGCAGUUUGAAUGGGGCAUUUUCCUCCUAAAAAGUAAUGGAGGAGUCUAUUAAGGUCGGCUUAGCGCGGAUGGAAAUCGCGCUGGACCUAUAAAGGGAAAAGCCGGCCUGACUGCAAGGCGUAUAUGCCGCGCAGAUGCGAAAGCAGAGCUUAAUGAACCGAUGGCGCUUACUAGAAUAAGGCCAAAGAUUAUCAGAUAAAAGCUACUCCGGGGAUAACAGGCUAGUUCCGCCCAAGCGUCCAUAGCGACGGCGGAGUUCGGCACCUCGAUGUCGGCUCGGCUUAUCCUGGCGGUGAAGAAGCUGCCAAGGGUUGGGCUGUUCGCCCAUUAAAAAGUCACGCGAGCUGGGUUCAGACCGUCGUGAGACAGGUCGGUCUCCUAUCUACCACAGGCGUCGAUACUUGAGGGGAGUCGUCCCUAGUACGAGAGGACCGGGAUGAACGGACCUCUGGUGUACCAGUUGUCUUGCCAAAGGCAGCGCUGGGUAGCUAUGUCCGGAGCUGAUAAGCGCUGAAAGCAUCUAAGCGCGAAGCAGACCCCAAGAUAAUGUAUCAUCAAUCCGUAGAAGAUGACUACGUUGAUAGGGUGCAGGUGUACGCGCAGUAAUGCGUUGAGCCGAGCACUACUAAUAGAUUUUAACCUUCCCAAC